rnacentral:rRNA from 1 species
CUCCCUCGUUGCUGACCCCAGGCUCGAUAGUGCCAAUUAGGUACAACCUCGCCAAGAACCAACUUCGAUGAAGCGACGGGCGGUGUGUGCAAGGAG